UUAACUAUUAUAUAGUACUCAGACUUCAUAUACAAACAGAGUUUAGGUCCUCUGGCAAGCGCUCGCCGGCCGGAGCCAGCAGCCCGAGGGCAGGCUUGCCAAAGCAACAAAGUGUAAUAAACAAAGGGUGGUAGGUUACCCGGGAGGCCUUGCGGCAACCCAGGCGACUACUGUAAUGAUCCUUCCGCAGGUUCACCUACGGAAA
rnacentral:misc_RNA from 1 species